GCUGGAAUCGCUAGUAAUCGCGGAUCAGAAUGCCGCGGUGAAUACGUUCCCGGGUCUUGUACACACCGCCCGUCACACCAUGGGAGUCGGAAAUGCCCGAAGCCGGUGACUCAACCUUUAAGGAGAGAGCCGUCGAAGGCAGGUCUGAUAACUGGGGUGAAGUCGUAACAAGGUAUC
rnacentral:rRNA from 1 species